UUUUUUUUUUUUUUUUUUUUUGCUGUGAAUAUUCUAAUGCUAAGAAUUGUGUUUGGGGCUAUGUGUGUCUUCUUGGCCCUGCACGCAGCGUUAGAAAGCUGAAACAUCCCUGAGCAAACUCGGUGUUUUAUUCGUUACACGUUCAUUUUGCUCAAAAUUAACAGCUUUUCAUGCUCUUGGAGCUCAACAAAGAGCAAGGUCUGUAACCAGCCCAGUGCCUUGGCGCCACGCAGCUGCUCCUUCCUGGUUGCAGGCAUUGCAAUCAGAGGUUCAGGGUCGCUAAGUCUCAUUUUCCUGAAUAAUUGAUUGCCUUAUUUCCUGUGGAAUUAAGAAAACUCAAGCAAUGAGACAGGUGUUAGCAGAAAGAAAACACAGUUUACGUGAGCAAAAGUCCCCUUUGGGGGAAGCCAAGGGACAAGGUUGUGGGAUUACUGCCAGAUGCUUUCUGUUUCUGCUCCUUGUAUCGGUCACCUCUGGCUGUGUAACAAAGUUUCUCUAAACUUGAAAGCUUAACCCAGUGAAGGCUGAUGAUCCCCCAGUUUCUGUGCAUGAGGAAUGUGAGAAGGGUGCAGUUUCCCCUCAGAUUGUGGUCAAGCCAUUGGGCCAGGGCUGCGGUCAUCAGAAGGCUUGGCUGGGGCUGAGGGGUCCACCUUCAGGCUCGCUCAAGUGGCUGUUGGCAGGAGGCCUCAGUUCCCUGCCAUGUGGGCCUCUCCGUAGGGCUGCCCAUGACCUAGCAGCUGGCUUCUCGGAGUGAGUAACCCGAGAGCAAGGAAAGACGCUCCCCAUGGAAGCCACUGUGUCUUUUGUCACCUAACCUCAGAAAUGACAUGUGAUCACAUUUGCCUUAUUCUGUUGUCACAGAGCUCGGCCCUGGUCCAGCAUGGGGGUGGGGGGUCCACAUGUGGAUGUGAAGACCAAGAAGCAGGGGUCACUGGGGGCUGCCUUAGAGGUGCCUGCCGCCACCUGCCACCAGGCUCUGUUUCCCUCUGGGGCAGACAUACCCCAUCUUCCUCUCCUCCCUAUUCUGUCCCUGUGGUUUGGUGGGACUGGCCCUACCACUGCCCUCCCUGGGCUCCAGAGCAGGGAAGAUGAUUCCGGCCUGGACAGCCAGCUUGUUCCAUCCCUUGGCUGCCAUGAUGGGGUCACAGAAGGGCAUGUGGACAAGUUGAUUGGGUAAGAGCCACUUCUGGCAUUGUUGGGAGAAUAUGCUGGAAGACAGGAGUUGUUGGCAGCUGUCCUUGUUGCUGCAGGGGAAGAUCCUGACCCCACAUGGUGACAACACAGUGGAGAAAUGGGGAGAGAGAGAAAUCAACAGGUCCUAAUGAGACCGUUUGCGCUCCUGGGUCCAUCUCUCCCUGAAGCUGUUUUUUUUACUCUGGAUGUUUCAGUUAAUGUGAGCUGAUAAGUUCCUUCUGUUAUUUGAGGCAGGUUGUGAGUGGUCUUCUCUCUGUUGCAGUCCUGAGUCCUGACUAACCAGGCUGCCUUGUGUGGCUCCUAGGGAGUCAGGGCAAGUUGUGUCUUCUCUGUGUGAGUAAAACACAAUCUCAGCCAUCAGCCUGCCAGGUCUGUGGAGCAGACUCCUAGUCGUCGUUACCGAUAGGGGGAAGCCAGUGUGUCUUGAGGAGAACCCACUGGAUCAUUCCACAGAGCACUUCUCAGGGCCUUCCGGCCUGUGUCUCACGUUGGGCCCAGCCUCCCAAGCAGUCUUGCAUCAUGACUUUCCGUCCUGAGGCAUAGUGGUGUGCUAAGAAGAACUCGGUACCAGUUGUGUGACUGGGGCGGUUUCCUUCCCCCUUCUGAACCUCUGGUUCGUGGUCUUUAAAGGUAUACAAGGCGGCGUUGGGGCCUGCCUGCCCCUCGUGUGCGGUGGUGUUGGGCAGGAUGCCGUGGAUGUGGCCUGGCGGGGAAGGGCUGUGUCUCCUCCUCUGCUGGGGAAGCAGCACCAUCUCUGGUCCUGGCUGUGCUACGCAGUAACUGCUCACGUCUCAGGUUCCCUGUCUGUAAACUGGGGCAUAAUAUUCUUAACUCGUAUCUAUAUACUUUUGGUGGCAGAAACCCAAUCCAGGUUAGCUUCAGUCCACAGGGGAAUUUUGGGUCACUGGGCCUGGGUGCUCCCGUGAGGUCAGUGCUCUCUCUCCCAGCUCUUGGCUCUGUGUCCUCCAUGUGUGAAUGGCACGGUUAGGUAGGGGUCUCUGAGGGCACAGGUCCCCUGCAAGAUCCAAAGAGACUUUUUUUUUUUUUUUGGUUUUUUUGGGCUGCAUGUGGAAGUUCCUAGACUAGGGGUUGAAUUCGAGCUGCAGCUGCCGGCCUACGCCCCAGCCACAGCAAUGCAGAAUCCGAGCCGUGUCUGCCACCUACACUACAGCUCACGGCAACACCAGAUCCUUAACCCACUGAGUGAGGCCAGGGGUUGAACCCACAUCCUCACAGACACUAGUUGGGUUCCUUACUGCCGAGCCACGACAAUGCGAACUCCGAGACUCUCUUUUCCCGAUGCUCACAGGUAAUGUCUUAGGAAGACUCUUCUCGGGCAUGUGGUGACCAGGAGCAAGCAGAGGCCAUGCCUGGCAGCCUGGCCAGGUCCCCAGGGCAAGCAGCGUGCAGGGCAAUUGUGUCUGUUAUGUUUCCUGACAGAAUUAUGGGGAAGAUACAUGAGCUCAGGCCCCGGAAGGGCUCAGGGCAGCUCGAGGCCCAUCGUAAAGGUGUCCUGGUCUUGCUGGCUGAUGCUUUGGCCACGUGUGCUGACCAGGGCUCAGCCAGGCCAGAAUCUUGUGGCUCCUGUGCUCAACCCAGCUUCCCCUGCAAUGAGCAUCUUGGAGCUUUUGGCCACUGGCCUUCAUUUGACCUUCAGCCCCUCCUGGUGUUAUUUUUCCAGCCUCGCCUGCCUGGCAUAUGUCCCUUUGUUUAUUUGUCCCCAUUGGGCUGCCGAGCAUGGUCUGCUGUGACUGCGUCCUGCCUGUGAGACAGGACUGGUUGGCGCCGUCUGUAAGGGAGGCCUCGGGAGCCCUGCUCACACCAUGCCACUGCCCCCGGGAGACCCUUACUGACUUUCUCUGAGGGCUUUAAGCUGUUUCUGCCCUAAGGCUCAGUCUCUGACUUUUUUUGAUUUUAAAUUAUUGGAAAAAGAUGAAGCCUUGCCUUUUGUGAGAAGGAACAGUGCAUGUCUCGUGUCCAUCUAAAGGCAUUGAUUACAUUUUUAAUCUCAAGAGGCACAUAGUCAAAGUUGAGAAUGUCAAAUCUGGCAGAUACUGGCUUGAAUUUUGAGCCUGUCCUGGGUUAGGGAUGACGUUUGGAGCCCAGAGUCUGUUCCUUUUCAUCACCAACCCCCAGUGGGAAUACAUACUCUGACAGGGAGAGCCAGUAGGUUUCAUCCUGUUGCCACCUCGGGGAGCGUGACUGCCUGGGGUUCUGGGUUGAGGAGAGGAUUCUGAGGUCCCGUCUGGGCUCAGCAGGUAAGAGUGCUGUUAGUGACUGGUGAUGUCUGCCAUGGACAAGAGUUUGCCAUCCCUCUGUGGGGGCUAGGGGAGCGGUGGGAACCGCUUGAGAUAAAGUCCCAGAGCCAGGUCGGCAGAGUCAUGCAUGAGACUGAGAAGGGGAGGAUUUGUCAUUCUCAUAUGAAUUCCCCUUGCUCGGUUCUGUCUCAUGAAAGAAACAUGCUCUGGGGACUGUUUCAAACCCAUUAUGUAAAACAAAGCAAGACGUUGCCAUCAGGGUGAGUAGAGACCACAAAUAAGGUGCGGUAGGUCUUUCAUCAAAUGAGCACUUGCUUUGAUAUCUGGUCGUGAGCCGAGAGCUGGGGAGGAAGAGAGGGGUUCUUUGACUGGAGGAAGCUCUGGUGGCUGUUGUGUUUCCUGACAAGCCCUGCUAUGUUUCUGCCACACUGGAGCAUCAGCCCCAACCUGAUUUUUUUUUUUUAACUUUUUUUCUCCUUGGUUGGUGAUGGGGUUGAACUCUCUCCCAAGCACCAAGGGUCAUCCCUGAUUUGUCUGAUCUGGUCAAGAUAAUUCCAUCUCUUUUCCAUAAUGAUUGGCUCAGGUAAGGUGACUUGAUCCAACUAGGUGUGGCUGCUGAACUUGGUGCAGGAAAUGGGGCCAGGAUCUAAUUCUGCCCAUGGGGAUGUGGUUGAGCUUUGCCAGGACUUUGGAAGAGGCUGGUCCCCUGGUGCAUGGCCGAGGUGGCUCCCUUUGGAACAUGUGCUGCGAGCGUGUAGAGGCUGGAACUUCUGUAGCCACUUUACCGCCAGGAGGGAGACAGCCCGAGGGGGAAGCUUCUGCUACAGCUUGGCGGCGCAGAGAGGAGGGGUGAGGGAACUGGGCCUUUCUUAUGACAUCCGUGGGCUGUGCAAAUUGCUUUCCCCCAGAAGCCAGGCUUCCCCCUUGUGUUGGCUGGUAAAUCCCCUUUGCUUGUUAAACCAUUUGGGUUUGGGUUUUCUGUUUCUUGCUUUAUCUCAGGAACACUCACAGAUGCAGAAAGCUUGGCCCACCAUCUCCUGCCCAGCCACAGGCUAGGUGCGCUUCCUCUGAGCCAUCCUUCCAGGGGAACCAGGAUCCCGCUGUAGCUGCCCUGCCAUUGCUGUCUGUCUCUGUUGUCUGGUGUGCAGGCUGUGAGCCCCAUGAGCAGGGACUGUGCCUUUGUGCUUCGCCUUGCUUUCCUUGCCCCUAGCACCAGGCUUGGCCCCAGCAGGUGCUCUGUAAUAUCAGUUAGAUGAGGGAGUGCAGGGACCACAGGGCCAGUGGCAGCGCCACCUGGUCCGAGGUGUACUGAGGACCGUCCGCUCUUGGCACCCCCGACAGCACCAUCUUUCAGCACAGAGGAGUCACACGGAGCUCAGCUUCAGACCUGCUCAUGUUGUCAAGUGCCCUAAGAUGAUAUUCUGGUUGCAUUUUGGGACUGAGGGCUCUCUGGAAAUCCCUCAACCAUCAAUUUUCAUCUUAUCGAUUAUGGGUAGGUAGCGAGAGCUCUUCGUAAGCGGCAGAAACCUACCUGAGACUGGCUUAUGGAAAGGUGCUGUGGACUGGAUCACAUGACUGAAAAGUUUGGGAGAAAAGCUGGCUCUCUGCCCAGCUGGACCCAGCAGCUCAGGGGUGUCUUUCGGGACCUGCAUCCUUCCGCGUGUCCCCUCGCAGCUUUGUUCCCAGGCCUGCUCUUCUCUCGUGGUGACAAGAUGGCCCCCCAGGCAGCACUCAGUUGCAGACUCAGCAUCCCUUAAAACAAACAAACAAGCAAAAAACCCGACCUCUUUAUUCUCUUGAAAUGAAAUUCGUAGCCAACUUACCCUACCUGUACAAAUAAUUGUGUCAUUAUUACACCCUACCUCUAAUAUGAAGGAGAAUUAAAAGGAAAGCAAUUUACGGUACAAAGUAGGUUAUAACAUGCAUUGUUUAGGCAUGACUUUUCUAGAAAAACACGAUGCAGUUAAGUGCGCAUGUCUACUUAUAAUGCCUGAGUUUGGAUUUUAAGGUGAUAAGAUCAGAAGUCAUGCUUGAGAAGUCCAGGAAAUUGAAAGUGCAGAGCAUGUGUGGCCCCCAGGGUGAAAACUGGCCUAUUCAGCACGUGCUUGAUGAAUCUGAGGACAGGCUCAGAUCACAAAGAAGCUUUUCACCCACCUCUGGAGCCGUCAGGGCGGUUGAGGACAUGGUGGGCUGUCAUUGGCUCUUGGAUCUACGGGGGCUGUCUUGGUCUUUGAGGACAGUUUGGAGCCCGGGCCCCACUCUCUCCUGCUGCUAGCAGCUGUCAGCAGGCCGGUGACCAAAAGCAUCUCCACACUUGGGUCUUGCUUAGGCUCUCCUCUGCAUUCCAGUUACCCAGGGAGCUUUAAGACUGUCCACCCCUCUCGAGGGCAGUGCUGUCCCCGGGGAGGAUCGCUGCUCUAGCCUCUUCCACGGGGUUCUUGUUUUCAAGACCGUUGGCACAUGUGCCUGUGUUCAGGCACCUUCUGGUCCUGUUCACUUGGCCAGGGACCGAUGAACCCUGACCGCACGGCAUUGUCUGUUGAGCCCCUGGUGCCCUGGCCCUUCCCGACCCUCCCACCCUUCACUUCUCCUUGGGCUUGAAGCUGGUUCCCCAAGGUUGCUGGCUCCUUCGCUCGGCUGAGUCUCAUUAGCUGAGUGAGCUGUGCUCUUCGUCAUUCUUUAGCAUGUCCUUGUCAGCAGCUGACAGGUCUUUAGUGACUUAGACCGGAGCAGCCAAGGAGAGCUGAGUGCAUGGGGUGGGACUGGCGUAUGGGGACAGGGACGCACACAAGAUGUGCCUGUCAGGGCAGGAGAUCGGAUGAUGUAGGAGGAGCUGUUUUACGGAAGUUCAGUGCUGCUGGGAUCCAGUCAAGGGUGGUUGGUUAUUUAAUACUCUCGCUCAUUAGUUGAUUCACUCGUCAAACAUCUCUUCUGUGUUCAGCUGGGUCAGUCAGAGAGAAACGAGAUACAGCAGUGAACCUCUAGGUGCUGAAAAUCGGGGAAGGACUGUAUAAACACAGACUUUAACCAACAAUUGCCUGUGCUCCAGUUAAGUUGGUCGUUCUUGGAAGGAAGUGUGGGGCCAACAUGGACUUGAGUCCAGCUUUUAAGGUCAGGACCAGGGGAAGCGGAGCGAAGCCCUAAGGUGCAUAAUUUAAGGAGGCUUGCUCUGAGGGCCCCGCACGUGCUUGUUUAGCAUGUAGGUGCAUGAUCUUAGCUGUCAUUUCACCCUAGUGCCUCUUUUGUUUUUUUUUUUAAUAGUUGAUUUACAGUGUUCUGUCAAUUUCUGCAGUACAGCAAGGUGACCCAGUUUUACACACAUUCUUUAUUGCACAUUAUUCUCCAUCAUGUUCCAUCACAAGUGAUCAGAUAUAGUUUCUUGGGCUCUACAGCAGGACCUCAUUGCUUAUCCGUUUCACCCCAGUGCUUCUUGUCUAGAAAACUUCAACAGUAGUAGUCUCUCCCUUUUUUUUUUUUUUGGCUACACCCAUAGCAUGGGGAAGUUUCUGGGCCAGGGAUUGAACCUGUGCCACAGCUGUAAGCUAAGCCACAGAAGUGACAACACUGGAGCCUUAACCUGCUGAGCCACCAGGGAACUCCACCUCCCUUCUAGAUCCUAUGCAGAAGAUGAUGCAUGAGCAGCGCUGGCUAAGUACUAAGUAGAAUGCAUCUGUGAUGUUAUUAUUGGUUUUGUGCGAGUAAAUUAUUCCUCCAUUCAAGGCUGCAAAGAGUCAUUUUCUGGAGUUAAUCUAGCCUGCUGUUGCUCACAUGUAACUAACUAUCUAAUAAAGAAUUCUCUGGGCUGAGGCACUAACUGCCUUGCUUAGACAUGUCAUAUAUACACUGUCGUCACCAGGGGAGCUUUUAAAACUGCUACAGCCAGGCUGCCCUCCAGACCAAUUACAUCAGAAUCUCUGGAGGCAAGACCCAGACUGCUCAGGCGAUUCCCAUGUGCCGCUCAGGUUGCCAGCCUGAGGCUCAGAACAGCACGUUUCAAACCAUAAUGUGCCUGCCAGGCGCCUGGGGGUCAUGGUGGACCUUACACUCUGAUCCAGCAGGUCUGGGAGGACCUGGUGGACAGUAUUUCUAACGAGUGGUUUCUAUGUGCGUUAGUUUUUUUUUUUUUUUUUUUUUUUGUCUUUUGUCUUUUUAGGGCCGUACCUGUGGCAUAUGGAGAUUUCCAGGCUAGGGGUUGAAUUGGAGCUGCAGCUGUGGGCCUAUGCCACAGCCACAGCAGCAUGGGAUCCGAGCUGCAUCUGUGAUCUACAGCACAGUUCACGGCAACGCCGGAUCCUUAACCCACUGAGUGAGGCCAGGGAUCAAAUCCACGUCCUCAUGGAUACCAGUUGGGUUCGUGACCACUGAGCCCACAAUGGGAACUCCCACAUGGGUUCGUUUUGAGGCUGCAUCUCGUUUCCUAAGCUUGCAGGUAAAGGCUCAGAUGACAUCCCCUUGUCUGUAGCUCGUUCAGCCUCUGACUGCUGCUUUCCUCCGUCUGUAUUCCGGAAGCGAGGUCACGGGGCAAAGCAUAGGAAGGCUUUAAUGGCCCAGGUUAUAUGGUGUUCUGAUUCCAGGGCCGGCCAGGAAGACCCACCCACCACCUUGAGCUGCUUCCGUCUUCCUUCAUCAGCACUUGGCUUCUGCUUUUGUGACUGUGCAAGGUGGGAGUGUCCUUGACAUGAGUGAUUUCCCUGCUGUUUUUUUCCUUUGGGGAGCAGAGACCUGGGGAUCCCUCCACAGGUCAGAGAGUAGAAAUGCCCAAUGUAUUAGCAUCUCAGCUUAGAAUUUUGGAAGCACCAUAACAAACAUCAUGAACAGCAGAGAGCCGUAUAUAUUCCUUCAUGACCCUUUCAGACGUUUGCGGCCAGUGUCAAUUUUUGUAGAUAUUUUUCCAACUGAAGCUGACGGCCGGGAACAGACGGAGCAACAGGAGCAUCAUAGCAUCUGUCACAGCCGUCGCUGUACACCCGGGAGAAAGCCACAUGCCUGUUUAUUUUCUUGAAUGCUUCUGAAAUCCAGUCAAAGACUCAGGUUUUGUUGAUGAACUAGAAUUUUUAGGGAUUAAGCAGCAAGGUAUAUUUGCCCGAACAUCUGCAUUUUGAGACACGUGCCCUUGUGGAAUGGUGACACGUCAGAACCAUUAGGAGCUGGCGCCAGAUGUUCCCCACGAAAUGUGCAUCGAACACGGGCUUGGGCGGUUCAUCAAGAGGCGAAAAAUGCGCAGCUGUUAAGGGAAAAGGGAGACGAUUGUGUCUGAAAUGUUGCUUCAGCCCAUCACGUUUCCCCAUCAAAGCACAGAAGCAGGAGAAGCUAAAAAAAAAAA
rnacentral:lncRNA from 1 species